rnacentral:tRNA from 1 species
AUUUAAAUAGUUAAAGAAUAGCGUUACAUUGAAGCUGUAAAGUUGGUAGGAUUACCUUUAAAUG